GACGAACGCUGGCGGCGUGCCUAAUACAUGCAAGUCGAGCGGACUUUCAAGAAGCUUGCUUUUUGAAAGUUAGCGGCGGACGGGUGAGUAACACGUGGGCAACCUGCCUGUAAGACGGGGAUAACUCCGGGAAACCGGGGCUAAUACCGGAUAAUAUCUUUCUUCGCAUGAAGGAAGGUUGAAAGGCGGCGCAAGCUGCCGCUUGCAGAUGGGCCCGCGGCGCAUUAGCUAGGUGGUGAGGUAACGGCUCACCAAGGCGACGAUGCGUAGCCGACCUGAGAGGGUGAUCGGCCACACUGGGACUGAGACACGGCCCAGACUCCUACGGGAGGCAGCAGUAAGGAAUCUUCCGCAAUGGACGAAAGUCUGACGGAGCAACGCCGCGUGAGCGAAGAAGGUCUUCGGAUCGUAAAGCUCUGUUGUCAGGGAAGAACAAGUACCGUUCGAAUAGGGCGGUACCUUGACGGUACCUGACCAGAAAGCCACGGCUAACUACGUGCCAGCAGCCGCCGUAA
rnacentral:rRNA from 1 species